rnacentral:rRNA from 1 species
UACGAACUGUGCAAACGUUAUUCGGAAUCACUGGGCUUAAAGGGUGCGUAGGCGGCUAUGAAGGUCAGGUGUGAAAUCCCACGGCUCAACCGUGGAACUGCGCUUGAAACCGCAUAGCUUGAGGGAGUCAGAGGUAAGCGGAACUGAUGGUGGAGCGGUGAAAUGCGUUGAUAUUAUCAGGAACACCGGUGGCGAAAGCGGCUUACUGGGACUUUUCUGACGCUGAGGCACGAAAGCCAGGGGAGCAAACGGG